GCCUAACACAUGCAAGUCGAACGCGAAAGGGGCUUCGGCCCUGAGUAGAGUGGCAAACGGGUGAGUAACACGUGGGUGACCUGCCUUCGAGUGGGGGAUAACGUCCCGAAAGGGACGCUAAUACCGCAUGACAUCCUGCUUUUGGAAAAGCGGAGAUCAAAGCCGGGGAUCGCAAGACCUGGCGCUUGAAGAGGGGCCCGCGCCUGAUUAGCUAGUUGGUGGGGUAAUGGCCUACCAAGGCUACGAUCAGUAUCCGGCCUGAGAGGGCGGACGGACACACUGGGACUGAGACACGGCCCAGACUCCUACGGGAGGCAGCAGUGGGGAAUUGUUCGCAAUGGGCGCAAGCCUGACGACGCAACGCCGCGUGGAGGAUGAAGAUCUUCGGGUCGUAAACUCCUGUCGAGUGGGAAGAAUGCUUCGGGGGCUAAUAUCCUCCGGAAUUGACGGUACCACUAAAGGAAGCCCCGGCUAACUCCGUGCCAGCAGCCGCGGUAAU
rnacentral:rRNA from 1 species